rnacentral:rRNA from 1 species
UAGGGAAUCUUCGGCAAUGGACGGAAGUCUGACCGAGCAACGCCGCGUGAGUGAAGAAGGUUUUCGGAUCGUAAAGCUCUGUUGUAAGAGAAGAACGAGUGUGAGAGUGGAAAGUUCACACUGUGACGGUAUCUUACCAGAAAGGGACGGCUAACUACGUGCCAGCAGCCGCGGUAAUACGUAGGUCCCGAGCGUUGUCCGGAUUUAUUGGGCGUAAAGCGAGCGCAGGCGGUUAGAUAAGUCUGAAGUUAAAGGCUGUGGCUUAACCAUAGUAGGCUUUGGAAACUGUUUAACUUGAGUGCAAGAGGGGAGAGUGGAAUUCCAUGUGUAGCGGUGAAAUGCGUAGAUAUAUGGAGGAACACCGGUGGCGAAAGCGGCUCUCUGGCUUGUAACUGACGCUGAGGCUCGAAAGCGUGGGGAGCAAACAGGAUUAGAUACCCUGGUAGUCCACGCCGUAACGACGAGUGCUAGGUGUUAGACCCUUUCCGGGGUUUAGUGCCGUAGCUAACGCAUUAAGCACUCCGCCUGGGGGAGUACGACCGCAAGGUU